CUCUGCCCCUUCCCUGCUCAUGCUCUGUCUCUCUCUGUCUCUCAAAAAUGAAUGAACAUUAAAAACAUAUAUAUAAACUUAAUGCUCUACAUGUCUUUUCUCCAGUAAACAGACACAAAAUAUUUCACAUUGAUGGUCUCGAGCAUCUCAAGAUCAAGAAUGUAUAAAUAAUGAUUAUGAAUGCCUAUCUUCAAACUGAUUAGCUUUUCCCCCCUAAUGUAGAAGGGAGAGAGUGCAGAAAAGGAAACAUGGAGAAAAAGAAACAAUAUUAGGUUCUGCCCACUGUCACAUAAAGAAUGACAUCAUAGUAGGAUGCAAACUACUAUGCACAUGAAACAACUUAUAGGAGGAUGUAAGUCAAAAAGGAGAAAACAUGAAAAAUGCUGAACAAUAAAAAUUCAAUUUACAUGUAGCUCUGCUAUGACACAUAAAUAUUGUCAGAGUGCUUAUCACCUCCUAGCAGACUGAACACAGCCAUAUCAAAGUUGUGAAAUUAAACCGGACCACAAGUCUAAGAUAAAGUGUUGGUUGCCAGUUACCGUGCGAAUGUGCGGCUCCUGGGACAAUGACCCUACCGGCAUCUGCUGGAGCUUCCUCAGGGACCGGCCGCUGGGCUUCCCAGUCACCACAAGGCUUGUUAUUCUGCUACUGUGUAUGUGUCUGGGCCUUUUGUAACACGGACCUGCUGUCCACAAGGUAACAAACCAAGGCCGUCACAAAUGCACACUAGGGUUUGCAAAUUAAAAUUUAAUUCUGAUCGUAGACAUAGAAAAGUUAUUUUUAAAUCUCAGUGGCACAUGGUGCACAGCAAACACGAGGUUCUGGCUUUUAUUCACUUCUGCAGUAAAUACAUGUGGCCAAGGGCUAGAGGAUCAAAUCUGUGGACUUUUCAGCCCAAUGAAUUUUACCACUUAACCGUGCCAAACGCAAAACAGGCACAGGGGAAAGGGUAGACGCAUUAAUACAGGCAUUCCUGCAGUUUUAAAGACUGAUUUAGGAAUGAUUGCCAUCAGCUCUGGCUCCCAAAAGUGUUCCUGUCACCCUCUGGGGCUGACAUUCCUCUGCUGUCCUCAUCUCUAUUCUCUGGGAGCUUCCCUGCAAAAUCAUACCUGCCUUUCCCUGCUCCCAGUGCAGGUGGAGCCUAAAUAAAUGGAGACUUUGCUUCUGGCGUAAUAAGCCAGGAAGAAUUGUCCCCAUCUGUCUAUCCAGAAAAGAGAAGUUCUCUUCUUUGGGUAAUAUAUGAGGUGAGUCACAGGUUGUAGAGGUUUUUUUGAGAAGCCUUUUAUGAGUUUGUAUUCAGAGCUGUAAAUCAAUAUCCAAAUUGACUUUGUGAUGGAACAGAGUUUCUCAACCUCAACACCAUUCAUAUUUUGGGCUGGAUAGUUCUUUGCUGAGGGGGGCUGUCCUAUGCAUUGUAGGAUGUUUAGCAGAAUCCCUGGCCUCUAUUCAUCAGACGCCCCUAGCAUUCCUCCCAGUUAAUCCUUUAACUAGAAGACAAUAAAACUUAGAAGACUGGAGGACAGGCCCUGGAACUGGAGAUCUAGCUUAGUCUACGAGCUAUUGUGACCUUACUUAAAGUUUGUGCCCUUCAGUGUUUUUACAUAUAAUGUGAGGAUAAUUAAGAGCAUCUAUCUACACCCUUGACAUGCCUCAGGGCCCUCACCCAUGCUGUUCCCUGUGCCUAGAAUGUACUUGCACACCUCUUGGUGUGAUUGGCUCCUUUUCAUGCUCCAAGUCUCAAUUUAAAUAAUCC